GAUGAACGCUGGCGGCGUGCCUAAUACAUGCAAGUCGAGCGAACAGAUGCGGAGCUUGCUCCUCUGUCGUUAGCGACGGACGGGUGAGUAACACGUAGAUAACCUACCUAUAUGGCUUGGAUAACUUCGGGAAACCGGAGCUAAUACCGGAAAAUAUCUUGAACCGCAUGGUUCAAUAGUGAAAGACGGUUUUUCUGUCACUUCUAGAUGGAUCCGCGCCGCCUUGGCUGGUUGGUACGGUAACGGCUUACCAAGGCAGCGAUGCGUAUCCGACCUGAGAGAGUGGUAGCCCACAUUGGAACGUGGACACGGUCACGAGUCCUAAGGGACGCAGCAGAAGGGAACCGUCCGCAAUGGGCGGAAGCCUGACGGAGCAAGGGCGAGUGAGUGGUGGAGGUCUUCGGUUCGGGAUACUGUGUUAUGAGGGGAAAACAAAUGUGUAAGGAACAGUACACGUCUUGACGGUACCUGAACAGGAAGCCACGGCUAACUACGUG
rnacentral:rRNA from 1 species